rnacentral:rRNA from 1 species
GAUGAACGCUGGCGGCAUGCCUAACACAUGCAAGUCGAUCGGUAAGGCUCUUCGGAGUACACGAGAGGCGGACGGCUGAGUAACGCGUAGGAACACACCCUGCAGUGAGGGAUAAGACACCGAAAGGUGUUCUAAUACCGCAUACGGUCUUCGGAUUAAAGCAUUUAUGCGCUGAAGGAGUGGCCUGCGUCAUAUUAGAUAGUUGGGGAGGUAAUGGCUCCCCAAGUCGAUGAUGUGUAGCUGGUCUGAGAGGAUGAUCAGCCAGACUGGAACUGAGACACGGUCCAGACUCCUACGGGAGGCAGCAGUGAGGAAUAUUUCACAAUGAGCGAAAGCUUGAUGGAGCAAUGCCGCGUGCAGGAUGAAGGCCCUCGGGUUGUAAACUGCUUUUAUAAGAGAAGAUUAUGACGGUAACUUAUGAAUAAGGGACGGCUAACUACGUG